UACAGAGGUCUCAAGCGUUGUUCGGAUUCAUUGGGCGUAAAGGGUGCGUAGGUGGCUUGUUAAGUUGAAGGUGAAAUCUCGGGGCUCAACUCCGAAACUGCCUUCAAUACUGGCGAGCUCGAGGACUGUAGAGGAGAAUGGAAUUCACGGUGUAGCAGUGAAAUGCGUAGAUAUCGUAAGGAAGACCAGUGGCGAAGGCGAAUCUCUGGACAGUUACUGACACUGAGGCACGAAGGCCAGGGGAGCAAACGGG
rnacentral:rRNA from 1 species